UNGGCGUAAAGCGAGCGCAGGCGGUUAGAUAAGUNUGAAGUUAAAGGCUGUGGCUUAACCAUAGUACGCUUUGGAAACUGUUUAACUUGAGUGCAGAAGGGGAGAGUGGAAUUCCAUGUGUAGCGGUGAAAUGCGUAGAUAUAUGGAGGAACACCGGUGGCGAAAGCGGCUCUCUGGUCUGUAACUGACGCUGAGGCUCGAAAGCGUGGGGAGCGAACAGGAUUAGAUACCCUGGUAGUNCACGCCGUAAACGAUGAGUGCUAGGUGUUAGGCCCUUUCCGGGGCUUAGUGCCGCAGCUAACGCAUUAAGCACUCCGCCUGGGGAGUACGACCGCAAGGUUGAAACUCAAAGGAAUUGACGGGGGCCCGCACAAGCGGUGGAGCAUGUGGUUUAAUUCGAAGCAACGCGAAGAACCUUACCAGGUCUUGACAUCCCGAUGCCCGCUCUAGAGAUAGAGUUUUACUUCGGUACAUCGGUGACAGGUGGUGCAUGGUUGUCGUCAGCUCGUGUCGUGAGAUGUUGGGUUAAGUCCCGCAACGAGCGCAACCCUUAUUGUUAGUUGCCAUCAUUCAGUUGGGCACUCUAGCGAGACUGCCGGUAAUAAACCGGAGGAAGGUGGGGAUGACGUCAAAUCAUCAUGCCCCUUAUGACCUGGGCUACACACGUGCUACAAUGGCUGGUACAACGAGUCGCAAGUCGGUGACGGUAAGCUAAUCUCUUAAAGCCAGUCUCAGUUCGGAUUGUAGGCUGCAACUCGCCUACAUGAAGUCGGAAUCGCUAGUAAUCGCGGAUCAGCACGCCGCGGUGAAUACGUUCCCGGGCCUUGUACACACCGCCCGUCACACCACGAGAGUUUGUAACACCCGAAGUCGGUGAGGUANCCUUUUAGGAGCCA
rnacentral:rRNA from 1 species